UACGUAGGGUGCAAGCGUUGUCCGGAAUUAUUGGGCGUAAAGAGCUCGUAGGCGGUCUGUCGCGUCGGCUGUGAAAUCCCGAGGCUCAACCUCGGGUCUGCAGUCGAUACGGGCAAACUAGAGUAUUGCAGGGGAGACUGGAAUUCCUGGUGUAGCGGUAGAAAUGCGCAGAUAUCAGGGGGAACACCGGUGGCGAAGGCGGGUCUCUGGGCAAUAACUGGACGCUGAGGAGCGAAAGCGUGGGGAGCGAACAGG
rnacentral:rRNA from 1 species